rnacentral:rRNA from 1 species
CAGUCGCCGCGGGAAUACAGAGGGUGCAAGCGUUAAUCGGAAUUACUGGGCGUAAAGCGCGCGUAGGUGGUUUGUUAAGUUGGAUGUGAAAGCCCCGGGCUCAACCUGGGAACUGCAUCCAAAACUGGCAAGCUAGAGUACGGUAGAGGGUGGUGGAAUUUCCUGUGUAGCGGUGAAAUGCGUAGAUAUAGGAAGGAACACCAGUGGCGAAGGCGACCACCUGGACUGAUACUGACACUGAGGUGCGAAAGCGUGGGGAGCAAACAGGAUUAGAUACCCGUGUAGUCCCUGUCUCUUAUAU